rnacentral:rRNA from 1 species
GACGAACGCUGGCGGCAGGCUUAACACAUGCAAGUCGCACGAGAACGCUCUGGCUUCGGCCGGGGCAAUUACAUUGGCGAACGGGUGCUUAUCCCUUAAAUAACCUGCCCUCAGGCCCGGGACACUCACGGGAAACCUUGGCUAAUACCCCACUUCUUCUGGACCCCCCUUGGGAACCAAAUAAAACCUUGGGGUUACCCUGGCUCCUUUGGAUGGGUCUGCGUUUGAUUAUCUUGUUGGUGAUGCAACGGGUCACCAUCGCUACCAUGCCUAACUGGUCUAACAGGACCAUCGGCCCCGAUGGGACUGACACACUCCCCAGACUCCUACCGGAGGCAACUCUGGGGAAUCUUGCUCAAUGCUGUCACCCCUGAUGCACCCAUACCACGAGGACGAAAACACCCCUAUGGUGCUUAUACUCCUUUUCAGAACCAAGAAACUCCUGUACGUUCCGGGCGCUACGGUAUUUCAAGAAUAUACAUCCGCUAACUCCGUGCCAGCAACCCCGAUAGUACAGACGGUGCAAGCAUUCUCUGGAUUCACUGGGUGUACAGGGUGCGCAGGCAGUGCAACGUGUCACAUGUGAAAUCCCAUGGCUCAGUCCUGUAGGUGCAUUCGAAACUGUUGCUCUGAGUCCCCGGAGAGGCUGUCGGAAUUCGUGGUGUAGCGGUGAAAUGCGUAGAUAUCACGAGGAACACCAGAGGCGAAAGCGGGCAGCUGGACGGGUACUGACGCUCAGGCACGAAAGCGUGGGGAGCAAACAGGAUUAGAUACCCUGGUAGUCCACGCCGUAAACGAUGAACGCUCGCCGUUGCCCCGCUCAAGGGGCAGUGGCUAAGCUAACGCGUUAAGCGUUCCACCUGGGGAGUACGAUCGCAAGGUUGAAACUCAAAGGAAUUGACGGGGGCCCGCACAAGCGGUGGAGCAUGUGGCUCAAUUCGAUGCAACGCGAAGAACCUUACCUAGGCUCGAACGCUAAAGGACCGCUCCUGAAAGGGAGCUUCCCCUUUGGGGCCUUUAGCGAGGUACUGCAUGGCUGUCGUCAGCUCGUGUCGUGAGAUGUUGGGUUAAGUCCCGCAACGAGCGUAACCCCUGUUGCUAGUUACCAUCGGGUAGUGCCGGGGACUCUAGCGAAACUGCCUGCGCAAGCAGUGAGGAAGGUGGGGAUGACGUCAAGUCAUCAUGGUCCUUACGCCUAGGGCUGCACACGUGCUACAAUGGCCGGUACAACGGGUAGCCACCUCGCGAGAGGGAGCGAAUCCCUGAAAACCGGUCCCAGUUCGGAUUGGAGUCUGCAACUCGACUCCAUGAAGCAGGAAUCGCUAGUAAUCGCGGAUCAGCAAUGCCGCGGUGAAUCCGUUCCCGGGCCUUGUACACACCGCCCGUCAAGCCAUGGAAGCUGAGAGCACCCGAAGUCCGUGACUCAACUCCGGCCUCGCGUCGGAGAGAGAGCGGCCGAAGGUGAGCUCAGUGACUGGGGCU